UACGAAGGGGGCUAGCGUUGUUCGGAAUUACUGGGCGUAAAGCGCACGUAGGCGGAUUGUUAAGUCGGGGGUGAAAUCCUGAGGCUCAACCUCAGAACUGCCUUCGAUACUGGCAAUCUCGAGUCCGGAAGAGGUUGGUGGAACAGCUAGUGUAGAGGUGAAAUCGUAGAUAUUAGCUAGAACACCAGUGGCGAAGGCGGCCAACUGGUCCGG
rnacentral:rRNA from 1 species